GGAGCUGAAGCUAAUCUGGUGAAAGCGUCUGCCUGAAGAGCAGAAGAGGCAGGUUCGAAACCUGCUGGCUCCA
rnacentral:tRNA from 1 species